GGCCUCUCAUCCGUUCGGGUGCUGGGGGUUUUUUGCUCCUCACUCAGGACCAGAGGCCAAGGUCAGCCCUACAAGAUCAUUUCAGGGCUCUCAUGAGUAGACAGCUUUGUUUUCCUGCUUUGGACAUGU
rnacentral:snoRNA from 1 species